GAGACUCUGGCCGCGGCGAUUCAAUAUAUCCGGAAGCAACUGUCAUGGCUGCUGUCAGUGAGGGCCCGUAAUGGAGAUCGAGUCAAGGGUUGCCCAGGGACACUUAAGAGCCUUCGGCUUCAAGGAGGCCUCUCAAAGGACAAAGGAUGAGACUGCCUGGCGGCAGAGUGCCCCCCACAAUCGUAGGAACUGUGUCGCCGCGCUUCCCGUUAACUUGCCGCUAAGUUUUUCUAGAAAAGUCGCCCUUCUUGCCAGGGUGGGACCUCACUUCUGACCUAGCCCUUCUUUGUGUACCAAGUUUUUGUUUCCGUCAUUUCCCGCAGCCCGGGAGCUCGGCGGGCGAUACUGUGGUAGCCUGGGAGGAAGGGGCGGGCCGGAUGCUGGAACCGAGAGAGGUGGGGCUCGUCGAGGAGUCACGGGCGGCCGAGGCUGGAGUCUCCUAAAUGCAACCUUGAGCUGUUCCACCCUUUGGUGCUUGGUCUGUUAGCUCGAGGUGCUCCUCACCGUGGAGGCGUUUAGAGCUGGUCAUAAGGCUCUUACCUGCUGACCCAACCACCCUCAACCACAGCUUGCCCUGCUCCAGAUAGACUUUGAUCCUAGAAAAUAUCUAAGAUGGGUGUAGUGCAGUAUGUUAUUGUUUUAAGUCUCAAACAUAAGCAAACUAUUAUUAAAAGUUUUAGAAUUAAUAGGCAGAGUUCACAUAUUGGGUCGUGUUAUUGUUUUAAGGUUUAAAUUUAGAUAACAUGUUAGUACUUGUUGAGAUUUUAACAAAAGCAUUAAAAAAAUGAGAAAAUAGAUUAAUCUUUAGAAUAUUUUAAGUUUGCUACUGCGCAGUGGUAACAUGAAGACACCUCAUAAUAAGUCUUUGAUUACCAGAAGCUUCUGAAAGUAAAAUUAUGGGUAUAUUAAUGUGAGUUUUCCUCUCUGCAGGGUGUCCUAUAGACUUUGUCAUGGAGUGAAACAGAAACAAAUGUGAGUUAAUCAUUAACAUUUCCUAGUGGUUAAAA
rnacentral:lncRNA from 1 species